ACGCUCGACACCUACGGGAGGUAGCAGUGGGGAAUAUUGGGCAAUGGGCGCAAGCCUGACCCAGCAACGCCGCGUGAAGGAAGAAGGCUUUCGGGUUGUAAACUUCUUUUGUCAGGGAACAGUAGAUGAGGGUACCUGACGAAUAAGCUCCGGCUAACUACGUGCCAGCAGCCGCGGUAAUCUGAGCGGGCUGGCAAGGC
rnacentral:rRNA from 1 species